rnacentral:rRNA from 1 species
UACGUAGGGACCAAGCGUUGUUCGGAUUUACUGGGCGUAAAGGGCGCGUAGGCGGCAAUUCAAGUCAGUUGUGAAAUCUCCGAGCUUAACUCGGAACGGUCAACUGAUACUGUUUUGCUAGAGUACAGAAGGGGCAAUCGGAAUUCUUGGUGUAGCGGUGAAAUGCGUAGAUAUCAAGAGGAACACCUGAGGUGAAGACGGGGUUGCUGGGCUGAUACUGACGCUGAGGCGCGAAAAGCUAGGGGUAGCAAAACGGGG